rnacentral:rRNA from 1 species
UCGAACGGCAGCGAGGAGAAGCUUGCUUCUCUGUCGGCGAGUGGCGAACGGGUGAGUAUAGCAUCGGAACGUGCCAAGUAGUGGGGGAUAACCAAACGAAAGUUUGGCUAAUACCGCGUAAGCUCCAAGGAGGAAAGUAGGGGACCUAAUAAGGCCUUACGCUAUUUGAUCGGCCGAUGUCGGAUUAGCUAGUUGGUGGGGUAAUGGCUCACCAAGGCAAUGAUCCGUAGCGGGUCUGAGAGGACGAUCCGCCACACUGGGACUGAGACACGGCCCAGACUCCUACGGGAGGCAGCAGUGGGGAAUUUUGGACAAUGGGGGAAACCCUGAUCCAGCCAUGCCGCGUGUAUGAAGAAGGCCUUAGGGUUGUAAAGUACUUUUGUUAGGGAAGAAAAGCUAGUUUUUAAUAAAAAUUAGUGAUGACGGUACCUAAAGAAUAAGCACUGACUAACUACGUGCCAGCAGCCGCGGUAAUACGUAGGGUGCAAGCGUUAAUCGGAAUUAUUGGGCGUAAAGCGAGUGCAGACGGUUACUUAAGCCAGAUGUGAAAUCCCCAAGCUUAACUUGGGACGUGCAUUUGGAACUGGGUGACUAGAGUGUGUCAGAGGGAGGUAGAAUUCCACAUGUAGCGGUGGAAUGCGUAGAGAUGUGGAGGAAUACCGAUGGCGAAGGCAGCCUCCCCGGGAUAACACUGACGUUGAGGCCCGAAAGCGUG